CCAGACUCCUACGGGAGGCAGCAGUAGGGAAUAUUGCUCAAUGGGGGAAACCCUGAAGCAGCAACGCCGCGUGGAGGAUGAAGGUUUUAGGAUUGUAAACUCCUUUUGUUAGAGAAGAUUAUGACGGUAUCUAACGAAUAAGCACCGGCUAACUCCGUGCCAGCAGCCGCGGUAAUACGGAGGAUGCGAGCGUUAUCCGGAUUUAUUGGGUUUAAAGGGUGCGUAGGCGGAAUGCCAAGUCAGCGGUAAAAUCGCGGGGCUCAACCUCGCCCCGCCGUUGAAACUGGCGUUCUUGAGUGGGCGAGAAGUACGCGGAAUGCGUGGUGUAGCGGUGAAAUGCAUAGAUAUCACGCAGAACUCCGAUCGCGAAGGCAGCCUACCGGCGCGCAACUGACGCUCAUGCACGAAAGCGUGGGUAUCGAACAGGAUUAGAUACCCUCGUACAA
rnacentral:rRNA from 1 species